CGAGAUGAGUUCUCCCUGAGACUUUAAGUCUCCUGAAGGAACGUUAAAGACGAUGACGUUGAUAGGCCGGGUGUGUAAGCGCAGCGAUGCGUUGAGCUAACCGGUACUAAUGAACCGUGAGGCUUAACCUUACAACGCCGAAG
rnacentral:rRNA from 2 species